UCAGGAUGAACGCUGGCGGCGUGCCUAAUACAUGCAAGUCGAACGCGCAGCGAGAGGUGCUUGCACCUUUCAAGCGAGUGGCGAACGGGUGAGUAACACGUGGAUAACCUGCCUCAAGGCUGGGGAUAACAUUUGGAAACAGAUGCUAAUACCGAAUAAAACUUAGUAUCGCAUGAUAUCAAGUUAAAAGGCGCUACGGCGUCACCUAGAGAUGGAUCCGCGGUGCAUUAGUUAGUUGGUGGGGUAAAGGCUUACCAAGACGAUGAUGCAUAGCCGAGUUGAGAGACUGAUCGGCCACAUUGGGACUGAGACACGGCCCAAACUCCUACGGGAGGCUGCAGUAGGGAAUCUUCCACAAUGGGCGCAAGCCUGAUGGAGCAACGCCGCGUGUGUGAUGAAGGCUUUCGGGUCGUAAAGCACUGUUGUAUGGGAAGAAAUGCUAAAAUAGGGAAUGAUUUUAGUUUGACGGUACCAUACCAGAAAGGGACGGCUAAAUACGUGCCAGCAGCCGCGGUAAUACGUAUGUCCCGAGCGUUAUCCGGAUUUAUUGGGCGUAAAGCGAGCGCAGACGGUUGAUUAAGUCUGAUGUGAAAGCCCGGAGCUCAACUCCGGAAUGGCAUUGGAAACUGGUUAACUUGAGUGUUGUAGAGGUAAGUGGAACUCCAUGUGUAGCGGUGGAAUGCGUAGAUAUAUGGAAGAACACCAGUGGCGAAGGCGGCUUACUGGACAACAACUGACGUUGAGGCUCGAAAGUGUGGGUAGCAAACAGGAUUAGAUAC
rnacentral:rRNA from 1 species